AGGAGAGAUGAGGAAGAUGGAUGUAGAGGCCAGGUAGGGAAGAAAAGGUGACAGAGAGGAGAAAGUGAGAACUGGGAGAAAGAGUCAACUGAGACAAAAAUGUCAUGUAUCACUAUUACUGAUGAGGAAUGCUAGUUGAGUGUAAGAAAAGACAGAAUUUAAACUCAAGAAGAAAAACCAGUUGAGUUAUAGGAAGUAGACCAAACAGAGCCUGCAGAGGUUUGGGGACAGACUCAGAAAAUGAUUAUUCCAGCUGUAGGAGUAUGAUGGGGAGUCUGUCUUCCUUUUCCUGCCAUGGAUGUACUGCUGGUUUGGACAGCCGUUAACGUCCAAUCAGACAACAGGACUGCAGGCCUUGUCAUAAUGACAGCCAUGACAUCACUGAAAGGGCUAGCGGAGGGAAGACAGCGGAGCUCCAGACAGAGAGCGGGACGACCGCGGGGCUGCACGGCGGCCGGCGGAUCUACACCGCGCGGGACUACCGGCGGCGGAGGACGAACUGAGCCCGGCCGGGGCGGGACGCUCUGCCCGCCGGACGGCCGCGACACGGAGGCGACGGGAGAGAGGAGGAUGUGGAGGAGGUUUGAACGGAACGGCGGCUUGUUUUAUUUCAACACGAGAGGAAGACAACUCCCAAACUGGCAUGAUGUAAGAGAAGAGUGA
rnacentral:lncRNA from 1 species